CCUGUUACCAUUCCGAACACAGAAGUUAAGCUCUUGAGCGGCGAUGGUACUUGGGGGGCGACCCCCUGGGAGAGUAGCACGUAGCCACGU
rnacentral:rRNA from 1 species